rnacentral:rRNA from 1 species
UACGUAGGGGGCAAGCGUUGUCCGGAUUUAUUGGGCGUAAAGCGCUCGCAGGUGGUUCGUUGCGUCGUGCGUGAAAGACCCCGGCUCAACUGGGGAGGGUCGUGCGAUACGGGCGGACUGGAGGCCAGUAGGGGGAUGCGGAAUUCCGGGUGUAGUGGUGGAAUGCGUAGAGAUCCGGAAGGAACACCAGCGGCGAAGGCGGCAUCCUGGACUGGUCCUGACACUCAGGAGCGAAAGCGUGGGGAGCGAACAGG